AUUGAACGCUGGCGGCAUGCUUUACACAUGCAAGUCGAACGGCAGCGCGGGCUUCGGCCUGGCGGCGAGUGGCGAACGGGUGAGUAAUGCAUCGGAACGUGCCCAGUAGUGUGGGAUAGCCCGGCGAAAGCCGGAUUAAUACCGCAUACGACCUGAGGUUGAAAGCGGGGGACCGAAAGGCCUCGCGCUAUUGUAGCGGCCGAUGUCGGAUUAGCUAGUUGGUGGGGUAAAGGCUUACCAAGGCGACGAUCCGUAGCUGGUCUGAGAGGACGACCAGCCACACUGGGACUGAGACACGGCCCAGACUCCUACGGGAGGCAGCAGUGGGGAAUUUUGGACAAUGGGGGCAACCCUGAUCGAGCCAUGCCGCGUGAGGGAAGAAGGCCUUCGGGUUGUAAACCGCUUUUGUUCGGGAAGAAAUCCUCUGGGAUAAUACCCCGGGGGGAUGACGGUACCGGAAGAAUAAGCCCCGGCUAACUACGUG
rnacentral:rRNA from 1 species